rnacentral:rRNA from 1 species
UACGUAGGGCGCAAGCGUUGUCCGGAAUUAUUGGGCGUAAAGAGCUCGUAGGCGGCUUGUCACGUCGGUUGUGAAAGCCCGGGGCUUAACCCCGGGUCUGCAGUCGAUACGGGCAGUCUAGAGUGUGGUAGGGGAGAUCGGAAUUCCUGGUGUAGCGGUGAAAUGCGCAGAUAUCAGGAGGAACGCCGGUGGCGAAGGCGGACCUCUGGGACAUUACUGACGCUGAGGAGCGAAAGCGUGGGGAGCGAACAGG